CUUAUCGAGAGUGGUGGAGGGACUGGCCCGAUGAAACCCGGCAACCUCAGUUUACGAACUGAAAGGUGCUAAUUCCCGCAAAAUGGUUGACCCGUUUUGGAAGAUAAGA
rnacentral:ncRNA from 1 species